UACGAAGGGGGCUAGCGUUGCUCGGAAUGACUGGGCGUAAAGGGUGCGCAGGCGGUUGUGUGUGUCAGGUGUGAAAGCCCGGGGCUUAACCCCGGAAUUGCGCCUGAAACUACAUGACUAGAGCAUUGGAGAGGGUAGCGGAAUUCACGGUGUAGCAGUGAAAUGCGUAGAUAUCGUGAGGAACACCAGAGGCGAAGGCGGCUACCUGGACAAUUGCUGACGCUCAGGCACGAAAGCGUGGGGAGCAAAAGGG
rnacentral:rRNA from 1 species